AUUGAACGCUGGCGGCAGGCCUAACACAUGCAAGUCGAACGGUAACAGGAAGCAGCUUGCUGCUUCGCUGACGAGUGGCGGACGGGUGAGUAAUGUCUGGGAAACUGCCUGAUGGAGGGGGAUAACUACUGGAAACGGUAGCUAAUACCGCAUAAUGUCGCAAGACCAAAGAGGGGGACCUUCGGGCCUCUUGCCAUCGGAUGUGCCCAGAUGGGAUUAGCUUGUUGGUGGGGUAACGGCUCACCAAGGAGACGAUCCCUAGCUGGUCUGAGAGGAUGACCAGCCACACUGGAACUUAGACACGGUCCAGACUCCUACGGGAGGCAGCAGUGGGGAAUAUUGCACAAUGGGCGCAAGCCUGAUGCAGCCAUGCCGCGUGUAUGAAGAAGGCCUUCGGGUUGUAAAGUACUUUCAGCGGGGAGGAAGGGAGUAAAAUUAAUACCUUUGCUCAUUGACGUUACCCGCAGAAGAAGCACCGGCUAACUCCGUGCCAGCCGCCGCAGUAA
rnacentral:rRNA from 1 species